rnacentral:rRNA from 1 species
GGACCCGACUGCUAUUUGGGUGAGAAUAAGCCGUGCGAGUUGAAUGGGAUGCCAAAAUUUCCCAUAGCAGACUGCUCAGUAACACAUGAUCAACUUACCCUAUAGAGAAAAAUAACCUCGGGAAACUGAGGAUAAUGUUUCACAAUUGAAAAGGCUUGGAAAAGUUUUUCAACGAAAGGGAUAUGAAAAAUGGUUUAUAUCUGCUAUAGGAUAGGAUCGUGGUCGAUUAUGGUUGUUGGUGAGGUAAUGGCUCACCAAGCCGAUAAUCGAUAGGGGCCGUGAGAGCGGAAGCCCCGAGAUGGGUACUGAGACAACGACCCAGGCCUUACGAGGCGCAGCAGGCGCGAAACCUCCGCAAUACACGAAAGUGUGACGGGGUUACCCAAAGUGUUCUAUUAAGAACUGUGGUAGGUGGGUAAUGUCCCCUACUAGAAAGGAGAGGGCAAGGCUGGUGCCAGCCGCCGCGGUAAAACCAGCUCUUCAAGUGGUCGGGAUAAUUAUUGGGCUUAAAGUGUCCGUAGCCGGUUUAGUAAGUUCCUGGUAAAAUCGGGUAGCUUAACUAUCUGUAUGCUAGGAAUACUGCUAUACUAGAGGGCGGGAGAGGUCUGAGGUACUACAGGGGUAGGGGUGAAAUCUUAUAAUCCUUGUAGGACCACCAGUGGCGAAGGCGUCAGACUGGAACGUGCCUGACGGUGAGGGACGAAAGCCAGGGGAGCGAACCGGAUUAGAUACCCGGGUAGUCCUGGCCGUAAACGAUGCAUACUAGGUGAUGGCACGGCCAUGAGCCGUGACAGUGCCGUAGGGAAACCGUUAAGUGUGCCGCCUGGGAAGUACGGUCGCAAGGCUAAAACUUAA